GACAGAGCGCGCGGGCGUUAUUCGUUGUAACCGGGUGUAAAGGGUACGUAGGUGGCUACGACGCUACUUGGUUAAAAACGCAGAAUAUUUCUUUGCGAAAACCUUUAGAAGUUAUAGCUUGAAUUGAGAAUAGGUCGGGGUAAUUGGUGGUGUAGGGGUCCAAUGCUGAGAUAUCACUUAGAACUUUAGCUGGUGAAAGCGCCUUUCUGGUCUCAAUUGACGCUAAGGUACGGAAGCUCGGGGAGCAAACAGG
rnacentral:rRNA from 1 species